rnacentral:rRNA from 1 species
ACCCAGUCGCGCACUGAGACCCCCCCACGUCAUCAUCGCCCCAUCAACGCGCAGCUCGCGUAACAUUUGCAGGUCCUCGUCGCCCCUUCGAGGUUUCGGUUUGCCAUGGCGGACCAGCUGAGCGAGGAGCAGAUUGGCGAGUUCAAGGAGGCCUUCAGCCUCUUCGACAAGGACGGCGAUGGCAGCAUCACCACCAAGGAGCUUGGAACCGUGAUGCGCUCCCUCGGCCAGAACCCUACCGAGGCAGAGCUGCAGGACAUGAUCAACGAGGUGGAUGCGGACGGCAACGGCACCAUCGACUUCCCAGAGUUCCUGAACCUGAUGGCCCGCAAGAUGAAGGACACGGACUCCGAGGAGGAGCUCAAGGAGGCGUUCCGCGUGUUUGACAAGGACCAGAACGGUUUCAUCUCCGCGGCGGAGCUCCGCCAGGUGAUGACCAACCUCGGGGAGAAGCUGUCUGAGGAGGAGGUGGAGGAGAUGGUCCGCGAGGCCGAUGUGGACGGCGAUGGCCAGAUCAACUACGACGAGUUCGUCAAGGUCAUGAUGGCCAAGAGAAGGGAGAAGAGGAUAGAGGAGAGGAGAGCGCCGUCGGCCAAGAAGAGCGUGGCAGGGGCAUCCGGUGCAAAGAGUGGCAGCAAAUGCACAAUCCUCUAGCUGAAACCAUCGGACGUGCAUAGUGUGCGUGUGGUGCGCUCGGAGCGCUGGUCCCCGACCGACGCAUCUGAGCUGUUGUAUGUAUGUAUCAAUGUGUGUUCAUGUGUAUCCCGGUGUGUGAUGGCGAUCGGCCUACGACUGUAACCGUUCUCAAGGUAAACGAAUAAAAGUGCUCUCUGUCUUGCGGAAAAGGAAGAAAGUGUAGAAACAAGGCGUGGCGGAGCUUGAGACUUUAAUAACCAUCACGGACAGGUCGACAGAUU